GAUUCAGAUUUUUGGACUUGAUGCUCUUCAGAGAUUUUUUCUUCGAGCUCAAUCUUCCUCCCACUGCAUCCAUCUUGGAUAAUUUUUUUUUCAAGAAGACAGCAUAAUGGCUCAUAAUCACAUUGUGAUCCUCAGAAAGAUAAAAGUAGUAUCCUAUGAUUUCCUUAAGAUACCCUAUAAAGUGAGUCCUAAAAGAUCUAACCUCUAACUUAUUUGUCUGCUAUCGCUUGACAUGGGCCGGAUAUCUUCAAAUCUUGAGGUACCCA
rnacentral:lncRNA from 1 species